UAAUAUGUACCAUUUUACUGUUGUCAGAAAGUUUCUUGUUUUAAGCUGUGCCAUUGUGACUAUGUUUCUAUUUCUUUCCUUUCCCACCCCUCUGCUUGUCCUUGGCUCGCCACUUCUCCGCUCUCAGUCCUGAUGGAGGGCCUUGACCACAACAGUAUCAUUCACCCAGGCACUGACAGGAAAUAUAAAGAAAUACAAUGGCAUUUAUGAAAAACUCUACAUAAACAGAGACUGACAAACAACCAAUAUACAAAGGAAGACAAACUCAGCAAAUCAAAAACAAAGCUACAGAGGACAUGAGUUGCAAAGAGUCCUUGAAAGUGAAUCUGUAGGUUGUGGAAUCAGUUCAGUGUCGAGGCUACGGUCCAAAGUCAUCGCCCUGCCAACUGACUAGAAUGGAAGGCGUCUGAAGAGUUUGACAAGGUUUGGUUGUCCUGAACUCUCGCCCAGCAGCACCCACAUCUACUGUGAUAAAGUACUUUGAGAAAUUGCUGUGGCUAGAAUCAACUCCUUCCUAAGCAAGGACCUGGACCCGCAGCAAUUUGCCUAUCACGGCAAUAGGCCUAAAGCAGGUGCGAUCUCACUAGCUCUCCACUUGGCUGUGGGUCACCUGGACAAAAGCAAUACCUACAUCAGGAUGCUGUUUAUGGACUGCAGCUCAGUGUUCAAUGCAAUCAUAUCCCCGGUUCUAAUCAGCAAGCUUCAAAACCUGGGUCUCUGUGCUUCCUUCUGCAAGUGGAUCCCUGACUUCCUCACCGGAAGACCAUGGUCUGUGUGGAUCUAAAAAGACACCACUGCGGCUAUAUUUCAUUAGGAGUUUGAAGAGACUUUGUAUGUCACCAACGACACUCGCAAGUGUACCACGGAGAGCAUUCUAGGUGAUUGCAUCACCAUCUGGUACGGAGGGGCCACUGCGCAGGAUCAAAAAGAGCUGCGGAGGCUUGUGAACUCAGCCAGUUCCAUCACGGUCAAUAGCCUCCACACUAUUGAGGACACCUCCAAAAGGCGAUGCCUCAAAAAGGAGCCAUCCAUCACUAAGGGCCCCCAACACCCAGGACAAGCCCUCUCCUCAUUGCUGUCAUCAAGGAAGAGGUAUAGAAGCCUGAAGGCACACACUCAAUGAUUCAGAAAUAGCUUCUUCCCCUCUGUUAUCAGGUUUCUGAAUGGACAAUAAACCCAUGAACAUCACCUCUGUAUUUUUCCCCUGUCUUUUUCCAGUACUUACUUCAUUGAACUGUCAUUUUUUUACAUAUACAGUUCUUGUUUUUGUAAAUUACUGAGUACGUUAUUAUGUAUUGCACUGUACUGCUGCUGCAAAACAAGAAAUUUCACGACAUAUGGUGUAUGGAGACUGGUAAUGUGAUGCUAGGUGAUGUGUACGUAGCGGUGGUGAGUGGGCUAAUGGGUGGAGGUGUUGAUCAGCCUUACUGCUUGGGGA